rnacentral:rRNA from 1 species
GACGAACGCUGGCGGCGUGCUUAACACAUGCAAGUCGAACGGAAAGGCCCUGCUUUUGUGGGGUGCUCGAGUGGCGAACGGGUGAUUAACACGUGAGUAACCUGCCCUUGACUUUGGGAUAACUUCAGGAAACUGGGGCUAAUACCGGAUAGGAGCUCCUGCUGCAUGGUGGGGGUUGGAAAGUUUCGGCGGUUGGGGAUGGACUCGCGGCUUAUCAGCUUGUUGGUGGGGUAGUGGCUUACCAAGGCUUUGACGGGUAGCCGGCCUGCGAGGGUGACCGGCGACAUUGGGACUGAGAUACGGCCCAGACUCCAACGGGAGGCAGCAGUGGGGAAUAUUGCACAAUGGGCGGAAGCCUGAUGCAGCAACGCCGCGUGCGGGAUGACGGCCUUCGGGUUGUAAACCGCUUUCGCCUGUGACGAAGCGUGAGUGACGGUAAUGGGUAAAGAAGCACCGGCUAACUACGUG